rnacentral:rRNA from 1 species
CUUUCUUUGCUGGCGACCGGCGCACGGGUGAGUAACACGUAUCCAACCUGCCCUUUACUCGGGGAUAGCCUUUCGAAAGAAAGAUUAAUACCCGAUGGCAUAAUGAUUCCGCAUGGUUUCAUUAUUAAAGGAUUCCGGUAAAGGAUGGGGAUGCGUUCCAUUAGGUCGUUGGUGAGGUAACGGCCCACCAAGCCUUCGAUGGAUAGGGGUUCUGAGAGGAAGGUCCCCCACAUUGGAACUGAGACACGGUCCAA